rnacentral:rRNA from 1 species
AUUGAACGCUGGCGGCAUGCCUUACACAUGCAAGUCGAACGGCAGCGGACCUUCGGGUGCCGGCGAGUGGCGAACGGGUGAGUAAAGUAUCGGAACGUACCUUUCAGUGGGGGAUAACGUAGCGAAAGUUACGCUAAUACCGCAUAUUCUCUGAGGAGGAAAGCAGGGGACCUUCGGGCCUUGCGCUGAUGGAGCGGCCGAGAUCAGAUUAGCUAGUUGGGGGGGUAAAGGCCUACCAAGGCGACGAUCUGUAGCGGGUCUGAGAGGAUGAUCCGCCACACUGGGACUGAGACACGGCCCAGACUCCUACGGGAGGCAGCAGUGGGGAAUUUUGGACAAUGGGCGAAAGCCUGAUCCAGCCAUGCCGCGUGAGUGAAGAAGGCCUUCGGGUUGUAAAGCUCUUUCGGCCGGGAAGAAAUCGUGUGGGCUAAUACCCUGCAUGGAUGACGGUACCGGAAUAAGGAGCACCGGCUAACUACGUGCCAGCCGCCGCCGUAACAC